rnacentral:rRNA from 1 species
GUCUAGUACUCAGGUUUGAUCCUGGCUCAGAUUGAACGCUGGCGGCAGGCCUAACACAUGCAAGUCGAGCGGAUGAUGGGAGCUUGCUCCUUGAUUCAGCGGCGGACGGGUGAGUAAUGCCUAGGAAUCUGCCCGGUAGUGGGGGACAACGUUUCGAAAGGAACGCUAAUACCGCAUACGUCCUACGGGAGAAAGCAGGGGACCUUCGGGCCUUGCGCUAUCAGAUGAGCCUAGGUCGGAUUAGCUAGUUGGUGGGGUAAUGGCUCACCAAGGCGACGAUCCGUAACUGGUCUGAGAGGAUGAUCAGUCACACUGGAACUGAGACACGGUCCAG